GACGAACGCUGGCGGCGUGCCUAAUACAUGCAAGUUGAGCGCUGAAGGUUGGUACUUGUACCAACUGGAUGAGCAGCGAACGGGUGAGUAACGCGUGGGGAAUCUGCCUUUGAGCGGGGGACAACAUUUGGAAACGAAUGCUAAUACCGCAUAAAAACUUUAAACACAAGUUUUAAGUUUGAAAGAUGCAAUUGCAUCACUCAAAGAUGAUCCCGCGUUGUAUUAGCUAGUUGGUGAGGUAAAGGCUCACCAAGGCGAUGAUACAUAGCCGACCUGAGAGGGUGGUCCGCCACAUUGGGACUGAGACACGGCCCAAACUCCUACGGGGGGCAGCAGUAGGGAAUCUUCGGCAAUUGACGGAAGUCUGACCGAGCAACGCCGCGUGAGUGAAGAAGGGUUUCGGAUCGGAAAACUCUGUUGGUAGGGAAGAACGUGGGUGAGAGUGGAAAGCUCAUCAAGUGACGGUAACUACCCAGAAAGGGACGGCUAACUACGUG
rnacentral:rRNA from 1 species